rnacentral:rRNA from 1 species
AGUGAACGCUGGCGGCGUGCUUAACACAUGCAAGUCGAACGAGAACGGGUUAUAGCUUGCUAUAAUUGUCAGCUAAGUGGCGCACGGGUGAGUAAUGUAUAGGUAAUAUGCCUCUUACUAAGGGAUAACAAAUGGAAACGUUUGCUAAUACCUUAUACUCCUUAUUAACAGAAGUUAAUAAGGGAAAGAUUUAUUGGUAAGAGAUUAGCCUGUAUUGUAUCAGUUAGUUGGUGGGGUAAUGGCUUACCAAGACUAUGACACAUAACUGGUUUGAGAGGAUGAUCAGUCACACUGGAACUGAGACACGGUCCAGACUCCUACGGGAGGCAGCAGUGGGGAAUAUUGCACAAUGGACGAAAGUCUGAUGCAGCAACGCCGCGUGGAGGAUGACGCAUUUCGGUGCGUAAACUCCUUUUAUAUGAGAAGAUAAUGACGGUAUUAUAUGGAUAAGCACCGGCUAACUCCGUGCCAGCCGCCGCAGUAA